UACGUAGGGUGCAAGCGUUGUCCGGAAUUAUUGGGCGUAAAGAGCUCGUAGGCGGUCUGUCGCGUCUGCUGUGAAAACUCAGGGCUUAACCCUGAGCUUGCAGUGGGUACGGGCAGACUAGAGUGCGGUAGGGGAGACUGGAAUUCCUGGUGUAGCGGUGAAAUGCGCAGAUAUCAGGAGGAACACCGGUGGCGAAGGCGGGCCUCUGGGCCGUAACUGACGCUGAGGAGCGAAAGCAUGGGGAGCAAACAGG
rnacentral:rRNA from 1 species